UCCAAUUCAUGAAAAUGAUUGUGAGGAAACGCUUUCACUAAGUAGAUUUUAAGGAGAUAACAAUUGUGUUAUUUUCAUUCUCAAAUUCAAUUAUUAGUACGACAUCCCUCUUCAUAGUUCGAAUUGUGAGAAAUGGCAAAGGGUCUAAACAUUUGAGACUUAUUUCUAUAAGUUCUAAAAUUGUUAAGACACACAUGUAAGCUAUCUAAGGAAAGGUGUAUGAUUUUGAGAAGCCUGGAUAAAGUCUUAUCAAAGCAUCUCGUAUCAGAAAUUUGAACUUUGGUAAUGAAAGUCAAUAAGUAUUGACUUCUAGAAGUCCAUCUGAUUUCCNUCAGAAAUUUGAACUUUGGUAAUGAAAGUCAAUAAGUAUUGAUUUCUAGAAGUCCAUCUGAUUUCCAGGUACAUGUCAAAGCUAGUGGGAGCAUAAGUUUUAUGCUAGUAAGAUGAUAAUUAUUAUGCUAGUGGGAGCAUAAUUAUUAUGGUAAGUUAGCAAUGUUAAUUAUAGAAAACAAAAGGUUUCAAUUCGCAAAGUUGUGGAUUUGAAAAGUUGUUUUGCUAUAAUUAAGGGAGAGGAAUUCAUACUUCAUUUCAAUUCUAAAAGCUUAGAUUGAGGUUUUAAUCAAAUUCAGUCAAAUAUAUAUGAAUUUUAUGUUGGAAUGGUUCAACAUAAGUAAAUUCUAUAUAUGGAAAUGUUAAUUGCGUUCUCAAAAUUUGAUUAUGAUUAUGGAAUCCCUCUUCAUAAUCAAAAUUAUGAGAACAUGGCAAAUAGAAAUAUUAUAGCGAAAGACUGAUCAAGUAUCAUGUCUUUAUGUUAGCCAUUAUGAAUCAUGUCCCAUACGCUUCGAGUAUAGGAUC
rnacentral:lncRNA from 1 species